GAAACAGACGUCACACUCUAAUCGACGGUCAUCGCCACGAAAAAAAACAGUCAAUUUGAAUUUUUGUAGUUGGUUGAUCCACCGCUUGUGGCGCUCUAAAAAAUCAUGAUGGCAGUUGACAGUUGAACUGCCUCCACUGGCUGCAUUGUUCGGUAGUAUAAGUGAGCUCAGGAAUUUGUCACAUUUUGUUGUUUAUUUUUCGAAAAACAUGGGUCGCAAGUAUGAAUUCAUCGCUUGUCCCAAUCGUCAAGGCAAAAAUUGUGGAAAAUCCUUUUUUUGUUUUCCUCGCGACAAUUACAGAUGUUCACAAUGGGUAACUUUUUGCCAGUGGCAGCAGCUGUCCUUAGAAUUCAAUAUCGGUGGAGAAAGUGGUGUUCGAAAGCGGGUUCUGUGUUCCGACCACUUCGAUUGCAACCAAUUCAGAAACGCCGGAGUACCGGAAAGAGGGUUACACGGCAAUGCCGUCCCAACCCAUCCAAUCGGACCAUUUAAAUCGUUUUUCACCAUGGAACCUCAGAGUGAUCAUUAUCAAGAAGCAGACCCAGAGUUUGAAGACGUCGAGUACCUGGACAACCAGUCCCAGACCCUGAACACAAAAAUUUUCAAAAUUUUUAUUUUGCAUUCGUUACAAAGAGAAGAGAAAGUGAGACGGCCAAAAAUAAAUCUCCACUGGUAGUUUAUCGGCAGUACCUGUACUAUAAACCGACCAUCAUCAGCACUUCCUCCAUGAUGAUCAGUAAGCAACGUUCCAACUUCCGGUGUAGGAUUUUCAACUCGAUGUUGCCACUCCAUCUACGGCGUUGUCCAAGUGCGGCAGCCAGGAUUUCCACAGAAAUUCAGCUGACAUGCUUCCUUCCUUUCGGGAACCGUUUUUCCGGUCGUAGUUCCCCAUGUUUUAGGUGCCGGUCCAGACGACGUGUUUGGUUUGUAUCUGCUAGGAGUAUUGUCGGAUGGCGGACCGCUCCCUACAAUUGCUCACCGGUUUGCCUAUUUACCAUUAGUCGUUGCAGGUUCCUGCUGGGUACUCGUCUGUAAUUCCAUUCCUAUUUUUCACUGCGUUGUUGCAGCGUUUCUUCGUGGCGGAUUCCAACUGAAAACAAAAAAAAUAUCCAGAGGUUUUCCGCUAGCAACAAUUGCAUUUUACUUACCUUUCAC